rnacentral:ncRNA from 1 species
AAUAUUGAAGUUGUUAAUUUUUACAAAGGCCUGUGGCAGGUGAUGGUGUUAUUUUUGCCCAGUGCUCUGAAUGUCAAAGUGAAGAAAUUUACUGAAACCCAGGUAGAUUGAUGGGUGUAACCAUGACUCUCUUAAGGUAGCCAAAUGCCUCACCAUCUAGUUAGGGACAUGCAUGAAUGAAUGAAUGAUAUU